rnacentral:lncRNA from 1 species
CACUGGGAGGCCUGCACGGUGACCUUUAUCCUCAGUAGGCCACUCCAGCAAACAGCAGAGCCAUCAGCAGUGCCGGAAUGUGCUGAGUCGGGGCGGAGUGUCUGAAUUUUUUUGAAAAAUGUCUCUGUUUUAAGCUACAGUACUAGUGUGUCUUGGGACAUCAUAAAAAGGCAACGAAAUCCUGACCACAUCUGCCAUUCCCCCUCAGUGCCAACAGUGUCAGCAUACAGCACUACUACAGCUGAUCUCAGAAAGAGGAAUGCCCUCCUACAUGGAUCCAGAAACAUCUGUUAGGGAGCCUCAGAGGAGUUAGAGAGAGACGACUGGCUUUAACAGACAAAUGCAGCGCAGAGUCAGCUCAGCACAGACUGCAGGGUAAAAGAGCUUCUGAGAGGUAAAGGACUGACUACACACACAGUGGUUUUGGGGGAGGUGAAGCAACAUACACUUGUACUCAUAUACUCACAUACCCGC